ACUAGUUUGGCCUAGUGGUUAAGGCACCAGGCUAGAAAUCAGGAGGGUGUGAGUUCUAGUCCUACCUUAAGCA
rnacentral:tRNA from 1 species